AGUAAAGAUACUAAUGCAUAUGGUGGAUGCCUUGGGUAUUCGCGCCGAUGAAGGAGGUGCUAAGCUGCCAUAAGCCUCGAGGAGUUGCUACGAAACGUUAUUACUCGGGGACUUCCGAAUGGGGAAACCCAACCCGCUUAUAAGGCGAGGUUACUAAUUACUGAAAGUUGCGCAAGCGACCAUAGGUAAUUUAGAGGGAACUCGGCGAACUGAAACAACUUAGUAGCCGGAGGAAAAGAAACCAAAUCAGGUAUUCUCCUAGUAGCGGCGAGCGAACGGGGAACAGCCCAAACCCAUAUUAAUAUUGGGGGUAUAGACAAUCCUAAUGUUUGAUCAUAGAAGAGUUAACUAAAUUUUUUUCGUAGAAGAAGCCUUCUGGAAAGAAGCGCCAUAGAGGGUAACAGCCCCGUAUUUGAAACGAAAAAAACUCUUGGGUUGAUCUUGAGUAGCACGGGACACGUGUAACCCUGUGUGAAGAAACGACGUCCACGUCGUAAGGCUAAAUACGCGAAUACACCGAUAGCGCAUAGUACCGUGAGGGAAAGGUGAAAAGAACCCCUGUUAGGGGAGUGAAAUAGAUACUGAAACCGUAUGCAGACAAGCUGGCAAAGCCCGCAAGGGUAAUGCCGUGCCUAUUGAAGAAUGAGCCAACGAGUUAAUAGAUUGGGCAAGCUUAAGCCGUAACAGCGGCGGAGGCGUAGGGAAACCGAGUCUUAAUAGGGCGACCAGUCCAUUUUAUUAGACCCGAAGCCAGGUGAGCUAACCAUGGCCAGGAUGAAACCCUGCGAAAUCAGGGUGAAGGUCCGAACCGUUGUAUGAGGAAAAAUGCUCGGAUGAGCUGUGGUUAGGGGUGAAACGCUAAUCGAACUUGGCAAUAGCUGGUUCUCCCCGAAAUAUAUUUAGGUAUAGCCCUUGNNCCUUGUUUAUAACUUUGCGAGGUAGAGAUACUGAAAGGGGAUGGGGCGCGCAAGUGUACCCACCCCUACCAAACUCCGAAUGCGCAAAGUGUUCCAAGGAGUCAGUGCUGCGGGGAAAUCUCGUGGCACGAAAGGGAAACAACCCGGACCAUCAGCUAAGGUCCCUAAAUUAUGCUUAGUGGGCAAGGAAGUGAGAUCGUUAAGACAGCUAGGAGGUUGGCUUAGAAGCAGCCACCCUUUAAAGAUAGCGUAACAGCUCACUAGUUGAACGAUUUCGCGCCGACGAUUUAACGGGGCUCAAGCAUAAUACCGAAGCUAUGGAUUUGCUGUUUUUAACAGCGAGUGGUAGGGGAGCUUUGAUGCAGCAGUGAAGGUGUACCCGUGAGGGGCGCUGGAGCGGCAUCAAGUGAGAAUGUUGGCAUGAGUAACGUAAGGGUGGUGAAAACCCACCCCACCGAAAGUCUAAGGGUUCCUCCGCAAUGUCAGUCAUCGGAGGGUUAGUCGACCCUAAGGGGAGGCCGAAAGGCGUACCUGAUGGAUAGCAGGUUAAUAUUCCUGCACUUUUGUAAGACCGUUACUACCGAAGGGAGGACGGAGCAUGAUGGACCAAGCUCAUUAAGGAUUUGAGUCCCAAAAGCAAGGCAGCUUGUGUAGGUAAAUCCGCACAGGCGUUACGUCGAGCUAAGGGAAAGUCUGCCGCAAGGCGGAUAAUUUGGUGUCACGCAAGCUUCCAAGAAAAUUCUCUAGGGAGGUCUUACAAUAUUCGUACCGUAAACCGACACAGGUAGAUGAGUAGAGGAUACUAAGGUGAACGAGCGAAUCGUGGUUGAGGAACUAGGCAAAUUACAUCCGUAACUUAGGGAAAAGGAUGCCCUGCCACGAACCUACGCAAGUAGGGAGUCGGUAGGGGGCACAAAAAUGGCUCAAGCGACUGUUUAACAAAAACAUAGGUCUCUGCUAAACCAGUAAUGGGAUGUAUAGGGGCCGAUGCCUGCCCAGUGCCCGUAGGUCAAGAUCGGGGGUGAUUUCCAACUUCGGUUGGAAUGAGCUUUUGGUUUAAGCCCGGGUGAACGGCAGCAGUAACUAUAACUGUUCUAUGGUGAAUUUACGCGCCGCCAUAGUGGGGAGCUAAGCUCUCCCGUUUGGAUGUGCCCAAACGCAACCUGACUAUAUGCUGGAAACUCCGUCCAUACUUCUUUAUUGAAGAUAUGGUGUCUCUANNUAGUUGGUUUUACAGAUGGAGAAGGUGCUUUCACAGUUAGCAUCUUGAAAAAUUCCACAAGCAAAACCGGCUGGCAAGUGUUUCCCGAAUUUAUUAUUACUCAGGGAGCACGAAGCAAGGAUGUUCUUUAUUUGUUCAAAGAAUUUUUCGCUUGUGGAAAUGUUUAUCUUAAUAGAAGACAUGAUAACCACAACGAAGAUCUUUACAGAUACUGUGUCAGAUCCAUAAAAGAUUUACAGAACGUGAUAAUUCCAUUCUUCUCAAGGAUCGUUUUACGAUCGGAUAAGAGGAAAGAUUUUUCAUUGUUUUGCAAAGUGAUGGGUUUGAUAAGUAAUAAGGAACAUCUCAGUAUUGCAGGUUUGUUUAAAAUUGCCGGGCUGGCAAUGAAAAUGAACCGUAAAGUCAGACCCAAAUUCUUAGAAUCCUCACUCACUAUACGUCAGGCCUCUGAAGGUUCAGAGGAAGAGAUAGUGGCGUCUGCAUGGCGACAUGCAGGAAUCAAUUCUUAGGGAAAGAAUGAUUCAAAAUUCGCGGAAACGCGAACGAAGAUUACAAGCGUAAUCCCUUGUCGGGUAAGUUCCGACCCGCACGAAAGGCAUAACGACUUGAGCACUCUCUUAAUCACGAGCUCGGUGAAAUUGAACUACCGGUGAAGAUGCCGGUUACUCGUUGUUGGACAAAAAGACCCCGUGGAGCUUUACUGUAGCUUGGUAUUGGUAAUCGGUGUUAAAUGUGUAGUGUAGGAGGGAGAUCCAUACUUGUAUGUAUCGUCAAUGAAACACCUCUCUUUUGGCUCUGAGAGCCUAACUACUCUGCAUUACCUGCAGAGGGGACAAUGCCUGGCGGGCAGUUUAUCUGGGGCGGAUUCCUGCUAAAGGAUAACGCAGGAGCCCAAAGGUUCUCUUAGCACCGAUGGAAAUGGUGCUGUAAGCGUAAAGGUAUAUGAGAGCUUGACUGCGAGACUUACAAGUCGAGCAGAUACGAAAGUAGGGCUUAGUGAUCUUCCGUGUGCCUAGUGGUAGGCCCGGAACUUAUCGGAUAAAAGUUACCCCGGGGAUAACAGGCUGAUCUUGCCCGAGCGUCCAUAGCGGCGGCAAGGUUUGGCACCUCGAUGUCGUCUCGUCACAUCCUGGNNNNNNNNNNNNNNNNNNNNNNNNNNNNNNNNNNNNNNNNNNNNNNNNNNNNNNNNNNNNNNNNNNNNNNNNNNNNNNNNNNNNNAAACCUCAAGAUUAAAGCCGUUCCGCUUUAAGCGGACACAAUUCCUGGGAGAUUACCAGGUUGAUAGGCCGUAGGUGUAAGCACAGCAAUGUGUUCAGCCAAGCGGUACUAAUAUUUUGUGAGUCUUUAUUUA
rnacentral:rRNA from 1 species